rnacentral:rRNA from 1 species
UACGGAGGAGGCAAGCGUUAUCCGGAAUUAUUGGGCGUAAAGCGUUCGUAGGUAGCCAUUCAAGUCUGCUGUCAAAGACCCGGGCUUAACUCGGGAAAGGCAGUGGAAACUGAAUAGCUAGAGUGCGGUAGGGGUAGAGGGAAUUCCCGGUGUAGCGGUGAAAUGCGUAGAUAUCGGGAAGAACACCGGCGGCGAAAGCGCUCUACUGGGCCGCAACUGACACUGAGGGACGAAAGCUAGGGGAGCGAAUGGG